rnacentral:misc_RNA from 1 species
AGAGAGAGAGAGAGAGAGAAAAUUCUAGCCGCUCAAAAGGAAAAUAGAAACAGAGAGAGCAAUCAAUGGCACAUCCCACUAACAAAAGCCAUUAGUCAAACAAGAAAUCACUCUAUUACACCCCACCCAAAAAAAAUUAAAGAAACAAAAACACCGUGAGAUAGCACACACAUGCACAGUCACUUCCAAUUUGCAUAAAUUGUCCCAAAAAGGCAUU